UGAGUACGAGAUGCUACGGCAUCGAAGCAGUCUAUGUCAUACUUCCAAGAAAAGCUUGCACUGUCAGAAACAGAUAAUGCCUGUACCAUAACCGACACAGGUGGGUAGGUAGAGUAUACUAAGGGGCGCGAGAUAACUCUCUCUAAGGAACUCGGCAAAAUGACUCCGUAACUUCGGGAGAAGGAGUGCCUUAUUUUUAAGGUUGCAAUAACAAGAUCCAAGCAACUGUUUACCAAAAACACAGGUCUCCGCUAAGUCGUAAGACGAUGUAUGGGGGCUGACGCCUGCCCAGUGCCAGAAGGUUAAAGAAGUCGGUUAGCAUUCGCGAAGCUGGUAACUGAAGCCCUGGUGAACGGCGGCCGUAACUAUAACGGUCCUAAGGUAGCGAAAUUCCUUGUCGGGUAAGUUCCGACCCGCACGAAAGGCGUAAUGAUUUGGAUACUGUCUCGGAGAGGGGCUCGGUGAAAUAGACUUGUCUGUGAAGAUGCGGACUACCUGCACCUGGACAGAAAGACCCUAUGAAGCUUUACUGUAACUUGAAAUUGAAAUUGGACUUUAUUUGCGCAGUAUAGGUGGGAGGCGUUGAAAAUAUUCUUGCGGGAAUAUUGGAGCCAUCAGUGAGAUACCACUCUUGUAAUGUUAGAUUUCUAACUUUAUAUCAUUAUCUGGUUAAAGAACAGUUUCAGGCGGGCAGUUUGACUGGGGCGGUCGCCUCCCAAAUGGUAACGGAGGCGCACAAAGGUUUCCUCUGAACGGGUAGAAAUCGUAUCUAGAGUGUAAAGGCAUAAGGAAGCUUGACUGUGAGACCUACAAGUCGAGCAGGGACGAAAGUCGGUCUUAGUGAUCUGACGGUGCUGAGUGGAAAGGCCGUCACUCAACGGAUAAAAGUUACUCUAAGGAUAACAGGCUGAUCUCCCCCAAGAGUUCACAUCGACGGGGAGGUUUGGCACCUCGAUGUCGGCUCAUCGCAUCCUGGGGCGGUAGUACUCCCAAGGGUUGGGCUGUUCGCCCAUGAAAGCGGUACGCGAGCUGGGUUCAGAACGUCGUGAGACAGUUCGGUCCAUAUCCGGUGUAGGCGUUAGAAUAUUGAGAGGAGCCUUCUUUAGUACGAGAGGACCGAGAAGGACAUACCUCUGGUGUACCAGUUAUCGUGCCAACGGUAAACGCUGGGUAGCUAUGUAUGGAGUGGAUAACCGCUGAAAGCAUCUAAGUGGGAAGCCCACCUCAAGAUAAGUAUUCUCAC
rnacentral:rRNA from 1 species